CAGCAAAGAUGAAGCCUGGGUGUGUCAGGUAGGCAGUGCUUUGCUAGCUGGCUGUUAUAAUUUUAUUUUAACAGUUGCUAGUUGCACUCCCCUCUGUUGCAUUCAAAAGCAUUCUCCCCAAAG
rnacentral:pre_miRNA from 15 species